rnacentral:rRNA from 1 species
UACAGAGGGUGCAAGCGUUGUUCGGAAUCACUGGGCGUAAAGAGUUCGUAGGUGGACUUAUUAGUAUAGGGUUAAAUACCGGGGCCUAACUCCGGACCUGCUCUGUAAACGGUAAGUCUAGAGUACUAGAGAGGAUAGUGGAAUUCCAGGUGUAGAGGUGAAAUUCGUAGAUAUCUGGAGGAACAUCUGAGGCGAAGGCGACUAUCUGGCUAGGCACUGACACUAAAGAACGAAAGCAUGGGUAGCAAACAGG